rnacentral:rRNA from 1 species
GACGAACGCUGGCGGCGUGCUUAACACAUGCAAGUCGAACGGGCCUUGUCCCCUUUUUUUUUGGGGGUGGGGUUAGUGGCGAACGGGUGGGUAAAACGUGGGUAACCUGCCCCCAACUUCUGGAUAACCGCUUGAAAGGGUGGCUAAUACGGGGUGUUCUGGCCUGCUCGCAUGGGUGGGUGUGGAAAAAUUGGACCGGUUUGGGCUGUUUGGGGGGGGGAUGGGCUCGCGGCCUAUCAGCUUGUUGGUGGGGUGAUGACCUGCCAAGGCUUUGACGGGUAGCCGGCCUGAGAGGGUGGGCGGUCACACUGGGACUGAGACACGGCCCAGACUCCUACGGGAGGCAGCAGUGGGGAAUAUUGCACAAUGGGCGCAAGCCUGAUGCAGCGACGCCGCGUGAGGGAUGGAGGCCUUCGGGUUGUGAACCUCUUUCGCCAGUGAAGAAGGUCCUGCUCUUUGUGGUGGGGUUGACGGUAGCUGGGUUAAUGAAGCGCCGGCUAACUACGUG